AUAAAAACUCUCACUUUCCUACUCUCGAACCAGGAAACUCAGGAACUACAGGAAAGCAACAUAGGUCACUGAGAACUACUAUCUAAUAUAUGUCCUCCAGCCAGACAUCCAUUCUGAAACAACAGCUGAGUUCACUGGGAAUAAAACUAACAGUGAACCAGGCAGAGAAGCAGUAUGUCAAAGAAUAACCAAGAGCUACAGGCAUCAACACCCAACUGCUCCUAAAGCUUCCCCAACCUGAAGAACCAGAGCAUACUCCCUGGACCUUUGCUCUCCACUGACCACACUUCUCUUCCUGGUCUCACCCAGGCUCACGAUCUUAAUGCCAAAUGCACACUGACACUCCAAAUUUACAUGCCCAGCCGAGACCACUCCCCUGAUUCAAAACAGCAGACCACAAGUGACCUCUACAUCUUCACAUGGACAUCUAACAGGUGUUCAAAUUUAACUUGCCCAGGAAUGAACCCUGGCUACCACCUGCAGUCUGCCCCAUCUCAGCUGAUGGCACCUCCACCUUCGCAGAUGCUCAGGUCAAACCCUCUCCCUCACACAUACCUCAGACAGCAUCCAUCAGGAAAUCCUACUGGGUGGUUCUGCCUUCUAAAUAUAUCCCAGGUGGACAGCUCCUCCCUCCUCCCACCUCGACUGCUUCCACCUUAACCCAGGUCCCCCACCCCCACCCCAGCUCUCACCUGAUGACUCCACCUCGUUGGUCUGCUGCCACUACCCUUUGUUCCUGUUCUCCAUUAUGUCAAGCCAGAGCAAUUCUACCAAAAGAGAAGUUGGAUCCCGUCUCUCCUCCACUCAAAGCCCUUUAAUGGCUGUUCAUCUCACUCCGAUGAAAGGCAAAAGAUCUCAUGACGACCUGGAAGAACUACAGGACCUGCCUCCUUCCCUCUCUUUACCGCUCUGUCCCCCUCUCUCAUUCUACUUCAGGUGGCCUCCCUGCUCUGGCCUCCUCCCAUUUCUCCCUGCACACCAGGCUUCUGCCAGGCCCUAAGACCUUUGCAUUGGCUAUGACCUCUCCUGGAAUGUUUCUCCCCACCCACCCAACUCCUCUGACACCUCCUUCAAAUCUAUUGGAACACUCUUCUCUGACCCCACCUCACAUAAAAUUACUAUUUAAUGAUUUUUUUUUCCUCCACAGUACCUAUCAUUGUCUGGUGUGAUUAAACGGGGGAGGGAGCACUUCCCAGCAGAGGGUCACAGAUAAGAAAUUAACAGCAUGGAAAUCAAAGCAUCUAGGCUUCAAACCAAGAACAUCCUGACAAUGCCUUUCUUGCAAAUUGAGGACUGACAGAGCAUAUUAAUGAGAAAUACUGUUAAAAUGCUAUUCAGACAUGGGUCUUCGGUUUCAGCUUUCCCAAAGGAAUUGGUUGCAAAGGGGAAGGGGAAAGUUAGACAUACGAGAACAGAAGCAUGUUUACGUUUUCCAUUCACUCCUGUGCACUGAGAGCUAAUGAAGCAAACCUUCAUCUGCACUGGCAGAAGCCCAGGAAUGGAGAGAGGCCAGUCAAGGAAGUGAUGCAAAAGAAAUGCGAAAAUGCCUUCGACAGCCCUACCUUGGCUUUAAUUCAAUGUAAGAAGCAUGAUGACAGUGCUCAUGAAUAUUAAAAUCUAAAGAAACAUCCAGCCAAAUGGAGUAUAUUCAUCUGUGUUCAAGGCAAUCCAAAGCAUGAGAUCGAACAUUCACUCAGAAGUGGAAGACACCCUACACCCCAACCACCCAAUACUAACACAAUUGUCUAUAAUUUAAUUUCAAGAAAACUAUACAUAUCAAUCUGCCCAGCUACGUUGUGCUUUGAAGAAAUAACACAAGGAAAGGCUUAAUUAAAUACGAGGUAUAUGCAAAAUGAUUUUGAAAGUAGUAUCAUGGUACCAAUUUUAUUCUGAACAUUCAACUAAUGUUAAACAGCAAGCCCCUCAUACAAAUGCAUCUAUUGACAAUGCCACACCAGGCCCAAAACUAAGCCUUCAUAGGAUGUUGCCGCUUGCCUACACAAGUACCUUUCUAAACCAUACAGUCCUUGAUCCCUGCUGAGCCCAGUUUGCAGCAAGGGUUUGCUGUCUACCAACCACGACGGUUACCAAUCAGGACGUUUCCCAUCAUGACACCUCGUUCUGUGAUCACUUCCCUUUAAUGCUCUGCUGGCACCUGCCCAUUCCACCUAAGCUAGUCCUGAGAUGAAGCAUUUUUAGUGUUAAUCUGACACCUGACAAAACAAGCUGAAACUUUUUCCAAAGUAAUACUCUACAAAACAAAAGACUCCUGCAGCCCACCAAUCUGGUUGAACAAAAACAGAGGGGAACUAAGUAACCGUCCGCCCAAUGGCUGAUGGAAAAGCAGACAUGAAAAACUGCCUAACCUUCAUGAUACUAAAGUGCAAAUUAAAGCCACAAUGUGUUACACCACUGUCACUUAUUAGAUUAGCAAAGAUUAACAUGAAAAACUCCAGUGUCUGCCAGGAUGGGAAUACACAGACACUCUUACACUUUAUUGGUGGAAGUAUAAAUUGUUAAAUUUUGCUUUUUAGUAUUCUGAAGAGUCCAAAAGAUCUCACUCUGAGGAAAAAAAUAAGUAUUUUCCAAAAUGCAAUCUGUGAUGACAACUGAAUUGGAAGUCAGGUUUAAGGUAUGUUUGGCUUUAGUAGAACCAUGGGGGGUUAAAGACUCUUUGAAGCACUUUGUGACCCCCACCCCCACCUCCUGGCCAUAGCUGACUAGACCAAGAUAGGCAUUAGCCACAAGGGGCCAGUUUCCCUCCCAGGAAAGUAGAACUGGGUCUCUGAUUCUGGUUUAUUCUAGUCACAUGUACUGUUCAAGAAAAGAAAUGUAAACUCAAGCACUUUAUCUGAAGUCUCACAUUCCUCGGAUACUGUAUUCCUAUUUAGCAUAUAAACAACUGACUUUCACAACUGACUUAUUUGAGGAUUCAAUAAACUGACUUUCACUCUUAAGAUUAUUUCCUGC